GACGAACGCUGGCGGCGUGCUUAACACAUGCAAGUCGAACGGAAAGGCCCUGCUUUUGUGGGGUGCUCGAGUGGCGAACGGGUGAGUAACACGUGAGUAACCUGCCCUUGACUUUGGGAUAACUUCAGGAAACUGGGGCUAAUACCGGAUAGGAGCUCCUGCUGCAUGGUGGGGGUUGGAAAGUUUCGGCGGUUGGGGAUGGACUCGCGGCUUAUCAGCUUGUUGGUGGGGUAGUGGAUUACCAAGGGUUUGACGGGUAGCCGGCCUGAGAGGGUGACCGGCCACAUGGGGACUGAGGUACGGCCCAGACUCCAACGGGAGGCAGCAGUGGGGAAUAUUGCACAAUGGGCGGGAGCCUGAUGCAGCAACGCCGCGUGCGGAAUGACGGCCUACGGGUUGUAAACCGCUUUCGCCUGUGACGAAGCGGGAGUGACGGUAAUGGGUAAAGAAGCACCGGCUAACUACGUG
rnacentral:rRNA from 1 species